GACAGGGAGCUAGCAGAAGUCCUAACUAGAAGACCAAUGCCGUCACAGGCCUAUUACAAAAUGUUUUUUUCCGCCUUCCAAAAAAAGAGAUGGGCCAAGAGUUAAGCCGGCGGGAUGACGGGAAGAAGAAAGGGAUAGAUACUGAGGCGGAUGGGGUAGGAUCAGGUGAUAGAAGAGAGGAGGAUGGGGUGUCUGUGCCUCUGGGGCUGAUUGUGGAGGGCGAGACUGAACGGAGCCGGAGCAGGUAAGUUGAGCGGCACACGGCGACGGCGCACAGACAAGGAUGGACAUAGGAAGUAUCGCGUGUUGCGAGGAAGGACGAGACUCAACGUGGCAUUCCACAAACCAGGCUCAGAGGUGACGGAAAUGACGGAAGGCAGGCUAAGCACGAGGGGGACAGAGAUAGUCGGAGCACCAGAGUGUCGCACCAGCAAAGAAACGCAGCAAUAAACCCACAUCGCUGAAAGCACAACAGUCACAACCUCUGUGGCGGAGAUAAUUACGGUAUCGAUGUCGAAUGGCACGUUGAAGUCGUCUUGCAAAUAUUCUGGGCCUUACAGACAUAAGACGCUGCCUGUGUGAAAUGGUAUUCCGCAAUGCCGGGACUGGGGUGUGAAGUAGAAACACCUGACGCUCACUUCUCCUGCCCUACUACAUUGAAAGAAAUUGUCACUCUCCGAAAACAGUUUUAAUAAGACAGGCCAGAUGCUGAGACUGAUGGAUGGCACAGGUGGAUAUAAAAAGAACUCUUUCAGGAUCUCUGUGCUAGCGGCACUGAGAGCCACGGAACAAAAGUUCUGACACACGUUCUGACUAAAAUAAAUGAGGACAGUUGGUCCCGAUUAGGGGUUUUGAAAUGAAUCAAAAUUGACGCAUUGCAGCACAGACAUCAACGACUGAGGAUGGAUGCAGUGGCAGAUCAUAAUAGACUAUAACCUGAUGACAUUGCUUGUUGAUUUUUGGCCUGCGGGAUAAAAAGUAUUGUAGUUUGUCUCUCUAUGUCGGGUGUCAACGAUAGUCUCAUCCAGGGCGUUAUAGCUUCGCUCUCAUCUAAAUAAUGUAUUUUUUCACAUACGAGGUCAUGAGCUAAGAGUUAAGGAUUUUUUAAAAAAGCGGAUAUGCAUUUUACAAACAGACAAGGAAGCAUGAACUGGACAAGUCACACGCAGUGUAAAGCCGGUUGCACAAAAAUCAAACAUGUCAGGAACGCCACCAACUUAAGGAAUCACAGAAGCCAUUUCAACCUCGAGUUGCUAACUUCACCGAACAAGGAAAUUGCACAGCCGGUCAGCGCAAUGAAGAAUUGACACGAGUCUGUCAACAAGCCCACCUAGGCGCCUAAAUCAGACAAAGGGAAGAAAUACCCCAUUCUGUGGGAGCCUUUAUGGUGAAGGCUUUAUGAACAUAUUCCGACGGGUUUCAACAUUUGAGGACUCUGUAGCCACAAUACAAAAUAAUAUUAAUAAUAAUAAUAAUAAUAAUAACAACAACAAUAACAAUGUAAUAAUGUCAGAGCCAGAGAUGUGGUCUCUGUAGAAAGAUCCACUCCUAAACCAUGAGUGUGUACG